GACAGUGAACGGGUAGCUAAGACGAUGGCAGCUUGCCAAGCUGUGGUUGUCCGUAGCUGCACUGAAUUUGAAGGCAAGUACCUGAAAGUAUAUGAGGAAGUUCUUGGGAAACCGGUGAUUCCAAUAGGCUUGCUCCCUUCAGAGAAACCUGAGAAAAGAGAAAUCACUGAUGAAACAUGGAGGAAGACCUUUGAAUGGCUUGAUAAUCAACAACACAAGUCAGUUGUGUUUGUUGGGUUUGGUAGCGAAUGUAAACUUACCAAGGAUCAAGUUUACGAGAUAGCAUAUGGGCUGGAGCUUUCCGAAUUGCCAUUCCUGUGGGCACUUAGGAAACCUAGCUGGGCUAUCGAAGAUAUUGAUGUUCUGCCUCCAGGAUUCAGUGACAGGACGUCCAAGAAAGGAAUUGUG
rnacentral:lncRNA from 1 species